rnacentral:rRNA from 1 species
AGUGAACGCUGGCGGCAUGCCUAACACAUGCAAGUCGAACGGCAGCACAGUAAGAGCUUGCUCUGACGGGGGGCGAGUGGCGGACGUGACAGGAAAAUAUCGGAACCUACUUUUUCGUGUGGGUUAACGUAGGGAAACUUACUCCAAUACCGCAUACGACCUACGGUUGAAAGCAGUGGAUAUUUGGACCUGGCGCGAUUGAAUGAGCCGCUGUCGGAUUAGCUAGUGGGCGGGUGAAAUGCCCACCAAGGCGACGAUCCGUAGCUGGUCUGAGAGGAUGAUCAGCGACACUGGAACUGGAACAGGGUCCAGACUCCUACGGGAGGCAGCAGUGGGCAAUGGUGGACAAUGGGCGCAAACCUGAUCCAGCCGUACCACGUGGGUGGAGGAGGCCUUCGGUUUGUAAAGACCUUUUGUUGGGAAUGAAAAGCAGCAGGUUAAUACCCCGCUGUUGUGACGGUAACCGAUGAAUAAGCACCGGCUAACUUCGUG